AGGAGGAGAAGGUUGGGUGUAAGAGACACUGAAAAAAGAAAAGGUUAGGUUUAAUGGACAAUGAGAAAGAAGAGAAGGUGAGGUUUAAGAGACAGCUGGGAAAGAAGAGAUAGUUAGGUCUGAGGGACAAUGGAAAAGAAGAGAAGGUGAGGUUUAAAGGAUAAGUGUUAGCUAGGAAAGGAAGAGAAGGCGGGGUUUGAGGGAGAAGAGAAGGUUAGGCUUAAGGGAGGCUGG